GGCGGCGUAGCUCAGGGGUAGAGCAAGCGGCUCAUAAUCGCUGUGUCGGUGGUUCGAGUCCACCCGCCGCUACCA
rnacentral:tRNA from 1 species